CCAAGUCCCUUCAAUAA
rnacentral:misc_RNA from 1 species